GGGGGUAUAUCUCAGUGGUAGAGUGCUUGUCUAGCAUGCAUGAAGCCUUGGGUUCAAUUCCCAAUAUUCACC
rnacentral:tRNA from 1 species